rnacentral:rRNA from 1 species
CCUACGGGUGGCAGCAGUGAGGAAUAUUGGUCAAUGGACGAGAGUCUGAACCAGCCAAGUAGCGUGAAGGAUGACUGCCCUAUGGGUUGUAAACUUCUUUUAUAAAGGAAUAAAACGAGGCACGUGUGCUUUUUUGCAUGUACUUUAUGAAUAAGGAUCGGCUAACUCCGUGCCAGCAGCCGCGGUAAUACGGAGGAUCCGAGCGUUAUCCGGAUUUAGUGGGUUUAAAGGGAGCGUAGAUGGGUUGGUAAGUCAGUUGUGAAAGUUUGCGGCUCAACCGUAAAAUUGCAAUUGAUACUGGCAGUCUUGAGUACAGUUGAGGUAGGCGGAAUUCGUAGUGUAGCGGUGAAAUGCUUAGAUAUCACGAAGAACCCCGAUUGCGAAGGCAGCUUACUAAACUGUGACUGACAUUGAUGCUCGAAAGUGUGGGUAUCAAACAGGAUUAGAUACCCGUGUAGUC